rnacentral:lncRNA from 1 species
UCUUCAUCAAUUUGUCUUUUGUGUUCAAGUAUAGUAUUUGUUUUGGAAAAUGGUUUUUGCUCAAUGAGCGGCUAGCAUGUGUAAAGCGUAAACAUAGACCAACAACCAAACUGACCUGAUAAGCGGCGGUGGCAGAACCAAAGACAAAGCCAGGUGGAAAGUCAUAUCUGCUAUACUUAUCAGCGCAGAGCACUGCUAUUCGCAUAUGCAGCAGAAUUCUAAUUAGCAAGAAAAUCAGACUCCUCAUUUCUGUUUACCUGAGAGUUCACUGCGACGUCCCAGCUCUUCUUCCUUUCGAGUGAAUCGAUGUGUUGUCACAACCAGAAGAAAUGAGGAUAAUAAAUGAUAUGAAGACAAAAUGCAAUGGUCUGCCGAUCUGCAUGGGUGGCCAUGAGUAUUCCAUUGAGUCUUGACGGUGACAGAACGCAAAUUGACAAGAAUUAACGGAACUUAGUGGAAGACAAGGACAUGUUCGUGUUAUAGGUAGUUUAGAAGCUUAAUGAAGAGCCCUUUUUCUUAGAUAAUCGGAGUCAAAGAUGCUUAUCAACCGGUUUAAUUUCCAUGAUUGUCUGCAUUUAUCACUAAUAUGAAAGCAAGAUGUGACGAUCAAUUAACUUUAUCCAUUUAAAUUAAAUGUGAUAUAUUUCUUAUUUACUUUGUUUGACAUUUUCAAGAGACUAAAGGAGGGUUAUGUUGGACAGGAUUCCAGAACAGAAGACAAAGGCUGGCGCAAAUAUAAGACUUAAGCGAGUCUCUCGUCUGCAAACAAAUUUGCUAGAUUACAACAAUUAUACAGAGAUGAGCCUACUGGGAGAAAUGGCCCUGCGAAAGAGCAAAGAAGUUUUGCUUGAGCUUGAUUAGUACAUCUGAACUGAUGCUUCCUCCCUUGAGAAAAUGGGAAUACCAAUGCGCAGAAAGCUUAGGGUAUCUUUUCAAAUCGGGGUCGUCCAAAUCUACGUAGUAGAAGCCGUAGCCUGAUUCAUAGCCAUCCAGCAACUCAAAUACAUCCAGGAAGGACCAUGCAAAGUACCCUCUUGUAUUUGAUCCAUUCCUUUGAAAAUUUAAGAGCGAGAAGAAGGAAAGGAAAGCGUUAGACGGUAUACAUGAUAUGGAUAAGCUGAAAGAAAUCUAUGCAAAAGGAUCAAUUGCAAUCUACAAACACUCAAAAGGUCGAUGGCUCUUAGGCCAUUCCUUAAAGUUCGAAUUGGCAUACCUCACAGCAUCAAGUACACUUCCAAUGUAGGCAUGCAAAUAGUUUACCCUCGAGGUGUCUUCCAUUGUUGAAUUGCGCCUGUUUCUCUGACCUGCCAAAGACACCAGACCAACUUCACCAAUGAGAUGAAAAGCAAGACCACAAGCAUAAACAAAUAUGAGAUAUUGCCAACCAAAAUCUUUUUUAAAUUUCCAAAUUACAUUCUUUGAGGCCUAACGGUGUUGGUAUUGGAGUUAAGAAGCAUAUAUUUUCAUACAGUUUGCUAUCAAAUAUGGUGGAAUGAAAGAGGGAUAUAAUCUGCAUGACUAAAUUGUAUCAGCAAUUGUCUGUUUUUCUUAUAGGUGUUUAGCCGUUAUGUUUUUUCAGCUUAUUCCUUUUCGCCAGCAGACUUGGCAAUUGUUCUACAUAAUAUGUUUUAUAAUAGUCUAUUGAAUUGAGAGCCAUGAUAUUUUAUUCAAAAAAAGUAUUCACAGCUCAGAUAUCACUGAUGUAAAUUUCUGGGAAUGACUCUGUUUUAAUUGCUGCACAUCAUUCUUCUCAUGUCCUCAUUUUACUUUUCCCACAUGAAGCAGCUAAAUUAUUUCAUUUCAUAAUUUCUUGGAUUCUUGACUUGGAAAAAGGCAUGAAUCCAUGUAGGUUGCCCUCUGUUCUAUAAUUAUUUAAUCUACUUGCUGUUGGAGAGAGGUAAAGAGAGAUACCAUUUUCAAGAAUGUAAAUAGGGGGAUUUUCAUAAACUUGCUUGAAAUACUCCAGCACUGCUUGCAAGCCCCAAGGCAGUAUGGGCAACUGAGUGGCAAAGCUGGUCAGUGAACCAUUGAGCAAGCAUGAAAUAAACAAAGACUGGGGGGGGGGGGGGGGGGGGGGGGAUAAAACAGUANACAAGGAUUCAAGGACUUGGAGGUGGGGGAAACGAGAUUGAGCCUGUUCGGUUUCUUUCUCCAUUUCAUUUUGCGUACAGCACAAGGCCCAGUUUGUUAUAUAUCUCUUUCACGAUUUAGGCCCAAUUGUGUAGCCAUUAAUCUAUUUUAAGUUUAUAAAGAAUCAACAAAAAUUUCUAGUAAGACCCAAAGAAGAAUGGAAACAACGAACAGGUUGAAGCUCAAAUCAAUGAGAAAACAAAUUAUACGAGGACAAGAGUUAAAGCAGAAUCAAAGUUUUGUGAUCGAUUACAGAUAAUUUGUUUCGUCGACAAGGAUUCAAGGGCUUGGAGGUGGGGGAAACGAGAUUGAGCUUGUUCGGUUUCUUUCUCCAUUUCAUUUUGCGUACAGCACAAGGCCCAGUUUGUUAUAUAUCUCUUUCACGAUUUAGGCCCAAUUGUGUAGCCAUUAAUCUAUUUUAAGUUUAUAAAGAAUCAACAAAAAUUUCUAGUAAGACCCAAAGAAGAAUGGAAACAACGAACAGGUUGAAGCUCAAAUCAAUGAGAAAACAAAUUAUACGAGGACAAGAGUUAAAGCAGAAUCAAAGUUUUGUGAUCGAUUACAGAUAAUUUGUUUCGUCGACAAGGAUUCAAGGACUUGGAAGUGGGGGAAACGAGAUUGAGCCUGUUCGAUUUCUUUCUCCAUUUCAUUUUGCGUACAGCACAAUGCCCAAUUUGUUAUAUAUCUCUUUCACGAUUUAGACCCAAUUGUGUAGCCAUUAGUCUAUUUUAAGUCUAUAAAAAAUCAACAAAAAUUUCCAGUAAGACCCAAAGAAGAAUGGAAACAACGAACAGGUUGAAGCUCAAAUCAAUGAGAAAACAAAUGAUACGAGGACAAGAGUUAAAGCAGAAUCAAAGUUUUGUGAUCGAUUACAGAUAAUUUGUUUCGUCGACAAGGAUUCAAGGGCUUGGAGGUGGGGGAAACGAGAUUGAGCUUGUUCGGUUUCUUUCUCCAUUUCAUUUUGCGUACAGCACAAUGCCCAAUUUGUUAUAUAUCUCUUUCACGAUUUAGACCCAAUUGUGUAGCCAUUAGUCUAUUUUAAGUCUAUAAAGAAUCAACAAAAAUUUUCAGUAAGACCCAAAGAAGAAUGGAAACAACGAACAGGUUGAAGCUCAAAUCAAUGAGAAAACAAAUUAUACGAGGACAAGAGUUAAAGCAGAAUCAAAGUUUUGUGAUCGAUUACAGAUAAUUUGUUUCGUCGACAAGGAUUCAAGGACUUGGAAGUGGGGGAAACGAGAUUGAGCCUGUUCGAUUUCUUUCUCCAUUUCAUUUUGCGUACAGCACAAUGCCCAAUUUGUUAUAUAUCUCUUUCACGAUUUAGACCCAAUUGUGUAGCCAUUAGAAUCUAUUUUAAGUCUAUAAAGAAUCAACAAAAAUUUCCAGUAAGACCCAAAGAAGAAUGGAAACAACGAACAGGUUGAAGCUCAAAUCAAUGAGAAAACAAAAGAGGUCCGAAUUUUCCAAAACCCAACACCAUUGACAGAAGUCAGGGUGCUCAAUUAAUCAACACAAGUACUGCUACUGACUAAGAGAAGCAGCUAACCAGCGUGGGCAAAAGUAUCCCAAAUGCUAGGAGUCCUCCCAUCUUCGCUUGCUGCUCCCUCCACCUUCCAUGUGUUACUAGAAGCUCGUCAGUCUUCAUCAAUUUGUCUUUUGUGUUCAAGUAUAGUAUUUGUUUUGGAAAAUGGUUUUUGCUCAAUGAGCGGCUAGCAUGUGUAAAGCGUAAACAUAGACCAACAACCAAACUGACCUGAUAAGCGGCGGUGGCAGAACCAAAGACAAAGCCAGGUGGAAAGUCAUAUCUGCUAUACUUAUCAGCGCAGAGCACUGCUAUUCGCAUAUGCAGCAGAAUUCUAAUUAGCAAGAAAAUCAGACUCCUCAUUUCUGUUUACCUGAGAGUUCACUGCGACGUCCCAGCUCUUCUUCCUUUCGAGUGA